CAAAUUCAAGCUAACGGUGGAUGGCAAGAUCGGCAGAAUUUGCAGCGACGCCUGCUUCAUCAACUACCAAAAAGUAAACAACCUGCAACUGUACACCUGUGGUGUCUGCAGCUCCAUCAGCACCGACAAACAGUUCCUGCUGAAGGAGAAGGACGGCAGUAAGAGCAUCUGCAGUGAGGAAUGUCUGGUCGAGUUCAAACGGAAAAUUGAAACGCCUGAGCUUUGCCCCAUGUGCCGGACGUCCCAUCAGUUAUCGGACAUGGUGGAAAAUAAAAACGACGAGGGCUGGUUGGACUUCUUCUGUAGCAACAGAUGUAUGAUGGUACACAGAUCUCAGUCUUCAAAUGGCUCAGGAAGGAACUGCCCAUCUCCAGAAGAUUAUGACAUCAAAGAAGUGAAGCCAUCACUUGAAGAUGAAGAAAUGAAAAAAGUGAAGAUUUUGCAAGAAGAGAUAGAAAUUACAGAAAUGAAGCCAUCGCUACAAAAUUUG